CCUACGGGAGGCAGCAGUGAGGAAUAUUGGUCAAUGGUCGGGAGACUGAACCAGCCAAGCCGCGUGAGGGAGGAAGGUACAGAGUAUCGUAAACCUCUUUUGUCAGGGAACAAAGGCGGGGACGUGUCCCCGGAUGAGUGUACCUGAAGAAAAAGCAUCGGCUAACUCCGUGCCAGCAGCAGCGGUAAUCCGGAGGAUGCGAGCGUUAUCCGGAUUUAUGGGGGUUAAAGGGUGCGCAGGCGGUCUGUUAAGUCAGCGGGCAAAGCCCGGGGCUCAACCCCGGCCCGCCGUUGAAACUGGCAGUCUCGAGUUGGAGAGAGGUAUGCGGAAUGCGCGGUGUAGCGGUGAAAUGCAUAGAUAUCGCGCAGAACUCCGGUUGCGAAGGCAGCAUGCCGGCUCCACACUGACGCUGAGGCACGAAAGCGUGGGUAGCGAACAGGAUUAGAUACCCGAGUAGUC
rnacentral:rRNA from 1 species